rnacentral:rRNA from 1 species
UACGUAGGGCGCGAGCGUUUGUCCGGAAUUAUUGGGCGUAAAGAGCUCGUAGGUGGCUUGUUGCGUCUGCCGUGAAAGCCCGUGGCUUAACUACGGGUCUGCGGUGGAUACGGGCAGGCUAGAGGCUGGUAGGGGCAAGCGGAAUUCCUGGUGUAGCGGUGAAAUGCGCAGAUAUCAGGAGGAACACCGGUGGCGAAGGCGGCUUGCUGGGCCAGUUCUGACGCUGAGGAGCGAAAGCGUGGGGAGCGAACAGG